rnacentral:rRNA from 1 species
UGGUGGAGCGAUUUGUCUGGUUAAUUCCGAUAACGAACGAGACUCCGGCCUAUUAAAUAGUUCGCCGAUUCCGAUCUGUCGGCGUUAACUUCUUAGAGGGACAAGUGGCUUUUAGCCACGCGAGAUUGAGCAAUAACA